AUCCAGCUGACGAGUCCCAAAUAGAACGAACGCGCGUGUUGGAU
rfam:Schistosoma rodhaini strain Burundi genome assembly, scaffold: SROB_scaffold0003815